CCGCGGGCAGAGCGCGGAGGCGGCGCGGCGCGCAGGGCGUCGGUGGCACCGGGAGGGUGCGGCCACAGCACCCGGCACCCGCCUCUCCGCGCUUCUCCCUGGGGCCUCUCCUGCGCCAGCCGGGUCUCGAGGACCAGCAAACCGGUGGCAGGGAGCGGAUUCACCUUCAGCGCUUUCCUGGAUGUAGCCGAGAGGGUUUCCCGGCGGGGAUCUUUGGGUUGGCGCUGGCAAUGCGCCGCGAAGGCAAAAGAGCUGCGUUCAAGCCGGGUGCGCUCCGAGCGCAAGCAGACGGGAUGCGCUUGGCUGAUUCCUCGGGGCGCCCGGGACCCGCCCUCGCCGCCCGCCCACCCCGGGAGAGAGGAAUGCGGCUGCUUGGGAACCCCCACCCUGUGAAAGCCCCGCGACCUCCGGCGGAUCCCGAGCGCGGAGGCCCGGAGCUGGCGGUGCUUUGGCUUGGGAUGCAAAGUGGGGAAUGGGGUGAGUGCAGGAAUUUCCGGACGACCCUAACGUGGAUUACUUGGUGCAUAUCGUCCGGGCUGAGAAGACCGGCGACCUCAUCUUCAUCCGUGGAUUGAUUGAUUCUACCUGGCAUUCGGUUACCUGAUGGUGGUAUCAGAGGCUUCUGGUUGACCUAGGUGGGGGUUCGAACCAAGAAAGAAGGAAAGGAAUAAAGAAUUACCCCAGAGGAAGCCCGCCCUGGUCAUAUUUAUCCAGCUCUGUGCAAGUCCUCACCUGAAGGCACCUGCCGGAAACCAGCCCUUGGUUCAGAGGGGCAAGUCCUUUCUCUACAACGGCAAGACCGUCUCACAGGGAGCUGGGAAGAGUGGUCCAGCCCAAAAUUUCCCAAGUGGCUGCCAUGUUGGGAUCUCAAAAGCCAUUAAUCCAGGAAGUACAAAGAUGAAACAGCAACUUUCAUCUUCAUAGUUCUGGGUAUUUCAUGCUGAGGAUUCGUAGAGCACCCAAAUGAUCCCUGAAAACUGAAAGCAAACAAACACAGAGGAAAACUCAAUCAGAUCCUCCUACCCUUCCUUUCUUAGUUCUGAUACCUAGGAAGAUGGAUAACCGAGUGUCUCAUUUUGGCACAGACUCUGCAAUGCUAAGGGACUUAUUUCAUACCUGAAAGUCUCUUACUGGAGACUGACCUGUAUGAUGUCCUUCAGAAGGUUCCCUGCCCUCUGGCUUCCCAUUGGCUCUGGACAACGAUGAGUUUGGGCAGGAGAUCAGAGAGAGGGAGGAGAGUGAAACUGGGGUAUUCACCUCUCCCCCACCCCCAUACUAUCCCUUGUGUGUUCACUUGCACCUGCUGUCUCCCCCAUCCUUCAGCUCAACGGCAGGUAGUUGAGCCCCUGUGGAUGGCACUACCCCCUGCGAUUUCCCUACACCUGCCCACACCUUGUAAAACAAUCCCUUUACUAACUCGCCUCAAAUUACCUAAUUUGAGUGUGUCAUCUAUUUUCUGCCAAGACCCUAACGGACACAAUAACUGAAAGUUAAGUGGAAGAAUUAAAAAAGUUGUAAUGGCAUUUAUUUAGCCCUUUUGCUUUUUUACAUUCAUCCAUAGUAAGCUAAGACUUUGAGAGCCCCCUGCCAGGAGAAUUUGGGGAAUAGAGAAGAUAGAUAACACUGACAUAAUCAUGGGAAUGAGCAAAAGCUAACUUUCUUCUGAUUUUAUUAUUGCUGUUACUGUUAUUGCUAUUAAAAUUACACAGGUGACGCAUGCAUUCUGGUCGUGAAGAAAACAAUACAGGUAUAUAUGGGUUGACUGAUUCAUUCUUUCCUCCCCUCAUCUCAUUCCCCUCCCCCAGGUAACCACUAAUGAUUUUCUGUUGUUUGCAUUUCUUCUGCAAAUGUUCUUUUCACUUUUCUGUAGUUAUCAUCUUUCCCCAGGUUGACUGUCUUUGACCCUGAUAUUAUCUUCAGAUAUGGAGGCUAGUAUACAUAAUCCUUGGUCUAGUAUUUCCAAUUCUAUCCCAAUUCAAAGUAUAUGAUUUUGCCAGAGAUUUUUUGCAAGUCUCCUAAGAUAACCAACAUUAGGUAACAAAAGAGGAAAAUCCAAAACUUAAAACACCUGGAACACAUGUCCCCUCAUGUGAUUUAUAUUAUAUUUGAUAAAGUUACAGAUUUUCUGAAUCUACCUAUUUACCCUCCUAUCUGAAUAAUUUAUCCGUAUCAAUCUGUGUAUCUAUCAUCUAUCUAUUGAUCUAUCUAUCAUCUGUCUAAUCAACUUUUUAAAUUUGGUCUGCUCUACUGCUAGAUGUUCUCUGCCUUGACCUUGGGGUGUAACUGCCCCGAUGGCAUUAUUAUGGCAAGUGUCCCCAAGGACCUGUAGGGUAACAAUCACGGAUGAGAACUGAAGAGCUUCUUGUCCAGUAUUUCAUGCACGUAGGAGGCUGAGGCCCAGAGAGGAGAACAACUUGCCUGACGGACCACUGCCAACUGAUGGUGGAGCUAGAACUUGAACCCAGACCUUCUGAUUCUCAGCCCAUGCCAUUUCCAUGGUGCUGAGUUAAUUUCCAAAAUUUAAUUAAGUCCAACUCAAGAGGCAUUAACUGGCACCUGGGUGUGCUAGCAGCUCAUGAGAGGCGAGAGUGAUUCAGAGGUGAAUAUAAUCCCUCCCUCAAAAAAAUAGUCAGCUGAAGGUGGAACUUGCUUGUUGUGCUCUUGUGUAGGAGGACAGCAGAGCUUGCAGAAUUUCUUUGGAGCAUCUCAUCAGUAAGAUUUAUCACCUUGUCCAUGUUUAAAUUCUAAGAACAGGAGACUGUAAGACCCCAGAGGCAGCCAUGGCUGCAGAAUAGAAACUCACACAGUUGUUCUGGGCCAUCUCCUCUGCUGGUUCCCGCCUGCUGCUUCCAGAGACAGCUACUUCUCUGCUCUGUUCCUAUGCUCAGCCAUAUCCACUCCCAGGUUUCCUAGCUGGCUACUCCCUCAUCUUCCUCUGUCAGCAAGAGAUUUUUCUCCAAUCCUUUUUGGUGUCCAUUAACACCAUCCCUGUGACAAGUUGGGUUCGUCAUUUUUCCAUCCUUGUCACCUGCAGGGAGGCAAACCUCAACAAGCCUGUCCCGUCGGACUUCUUUCCCAAGUCAUUAGCGUCAGGAGUCCAUCCAGCUCUCUCGACUGGGUCCCUGCUGGCGUUCCCAGUGGGCGAUGAUGUAUCCUUACAGGUGCUUCUGUGAGCUGAGAUCUGCAGAAGCUGUGUGUUAAGUGAGAGGAAAAGGGGAAAGCAGCUCAUGGUCUGCUAUUUCCCGCUUGAGCACUCAAAGCUCACACCACUCCCUCCCAGGGCAGCAAAAAAGACAGGGGGCGAGGGAAGUGCCUUGGAUGAGAUUUGCCCCAUUGAAAAAAUAAGUAAUAACCAAAACCUCUUAGGCCACGUAGCUCUGGGGCAAGGAAGAGGUGGGGACCUCCCCAGAGUAGGCUCCCGAAGUUUCCUGUUUUCAGGCAAGCGGGAAGCAUAGUGCAAACAUCCGUCUUCGUUUACGGCCUUGGUCUUUGUUCUCGCUCAGCCAGUGUGCCGUCCUGGGGUGGCCUUCCCAGCGCUUUCUCCUGCCCGGGUUAUCUGCUUCAGAUCAGGAGGGAAGGCAUGAGCAUGUGCUCAGAGCACCCAGAUCCCACACAAACGCCAGGUAUAAUACUAAUCGUAAAUGCUUGCUCUGGGACCUCUUGGGGAAUGUGGGGUUGCACCUCUUUCCCUUAAAGUUCUCUUCUCCCUAGAACGCCACACCUAUUGCAUGUUAAUGUGCCAAGCUUGAAGCUGAGUGGUGGGGGGAGCCACUCCCUGGUGGAUUCCGUAACAAACUGAACUGGAGGAGUACCCCAGUUUGGAUGGUAACUUACGUGGUCUCAGACUCAUCAUCCUCUACAGCCCUUCUGGGCAGCCGCCAGUCAAAGACGUUUCCCAGCACCGAAGACAGGGCUUGGCUCCUAGAAGGACUCCGGGAGAUGUUGAUUAUUGGCCCAAUGUGGCUAUUUGAUUAUCUUGGCAAUUUGAGGCCUAUGAAGAGGACAAGGCAAGAAACCUGGGAGUGAUGGACUCUGGCAGCGGGGAACCGGUGGCAGGACCCCCAGCCCUGGAAGCAGGGAGCAGAGGAGGUGCACGGUGCGGCAACGACCCGGCUCUAGCCCGGUGCUCCCACUACGUGAUGGGGAGCAUGUCAAGGCACGGGGACUGAACUGUGGGUGACCCGGUGGAGCAAGGAGGCUAAUUAAAGCUUCUCUUCCCCGCACUUCAGUCACAACCCCCUCCUGCCCUUCCUCCUGAUGGUGCGGCUGAUAAGGAAGGAUUGAAUUUGUGAAAAGCGAUGAAGAUGUUUGGAUAAGCUGCGGUACCCAGGCAAGCCGGCCUGACGAGUUAGGGCUUGUGGGAGGCAGCAGGGGUGUCUGGAAGCUUCGUUAGGGCAGGCACAGCGAGGCUGAGAAGAAGGGGAGAACCGAACGCUGAAGGUGACACCCUGCGGUCUGCACACCCAGGCAAUCCCAGUGGAAAUGGGCUUGCUGCAGAGAGGUGGCUUGCCCCAUGCCACCCAGCGGCCAACAGCUUCUGGGUCCAUUCCCAGGGAGCACCUGAGUGAGCCUGGAAUAAACAGCUGCCAUGAAUCUGGGGUGGAGAAGGAAGGGUGAGGGGACUAGCUGAGCAUCUUCUCCUCCAGAAAGACAUUAGACAGCCUAAUGGGAAAAGUAAUAAAAAUAACUGUAGCCAUCACCUACUGCGUGUCUGCCAUGUUUCAGGCACUGUGAGGAGGGCUUUCUGAUCCAUAUCUUAUUUAAUGCUUUCAUAUGAGUCCUGUGGUUGUUAUCAUUUCUGUCAUACUGAUGAGGAAAGUGAAUCUCAGAGAGGUAAAGUAACUUGCCUAAGGACACACAGCUAGUAAAUGAUAAACCAAAACCAAACAGUGGAUUAAAAGCAAAAA